rnacentral:rRNA from 1 species
AGCAGUCGCCGCGGUAAUACGAAGGGGGCUAGCGUUGCUCGGAAUUACUGGGCGUAAAGGGAGCGUAGGCGGACAUUUAAGUCAGGGGUGAAAUCCCAGAGCUCAACUCUGGAACUGCCCUUGAUACUGGGUGUCUUGAGUGUGAUAGAGGUAUGUGGAACUCCGAGUGUAGAGGUGAAAUUCGUAGAUAUUCGGAAGAACACCAGUGGCGAAGGCGACAUACUGGAUCAUUACUGACGCUGAGGCUCGAAAGCGUGGGGAGCAAACAGGAUUAGAUACCCCGGUAGUCCCUGUCUCUUAUAC